GACGAACGCUGGCGGCGUGCUUAACACAUGCAAGUCGAACGGAAAGGCCCUGCUCUUGUGGGGUGCUCGAGUGGCGAACGGGUGAGUAACACGUGAGUAACCUGCCCUUGACUUUGGGAUAACUUCAGGAAACUGCGGCUAAUACCGGAUAGGAGCUCCUGCUGCAUGGUGGGGGUUGGAAAGUUUCGGCGGUUGGGGAUGGACUCGCGGCUUAUCAGCUUGUUGGUGGGGUAGUGGCUUACCAAGGCUUUGACGGGUAGCCGGCCUGAGAGGGUGACCGGCCACAUUGGGACUGAGGUACGGCCCAGACUCCUACGGGAGGCAGCAGUGGGGAAUAUUGCACAAUGGGCGGAAGCCUGAUGCAGCAACGCCGCGUGCGGGAUGACCGCCUACGGGUUGUAAACCGCUUUCGCCUGUGACGAAGCGUGAGUGACGGUAAUUGGUAAAGAAGCACCGGCUAACUACGUG
rnacentral:rRNA from 1 species